rnacentral:lncRNA from 1 species
CCAUAUCUGUUGUUAAGUUGACUCCAAAUACUCUGAGCAGUGUCAGAGUAUUGGACAAUCUCUGCUAUCUCAGGAGUAAGAGAAUUUGUGAGCCACGAAAUGACCAUAUUGUUGCAUCUAUCUCACUGUCUAAAUUGAGGAGAAUUUUCAGGAGGCUUAGGCACAGAACCAUCGAUGAAACCUAGUUGGUUUCUAGCGGACAAAGAAACUAUUACGUUUCUCCUCCAUCCCCCAAAACCAACCCCUGAGAACAGAUUGGUAACCAAGGAUACUCCGGGAACAUCGGAUGAUAUAAGGAAUAAAGGGUUUGUGGGACUAGGAACAAAAGUAGUAGGCACAGAGGAAGAAUCAUCAUCGUUUUCUACCAUUUUUAACUACUGAUGAUGUUUAAAACACAACAAACCAACAGAUCGUAACUACAACAAACGACUAUCACAGACUCUAACCAAAAACAACAAAAAAUACAGUCUAUGAUAUUUACACAACAGAUAACAAGUUUUACAACAAAAAAUAUGAAUGAUUUACGAAAAAACUAACCGAAUCGAAAAAAAACCUAACUUCUGAGAAUCAACAGAAACAUGGAUGGAAAUGGCUGAGGGUAACACCGAU